GAUGAACGCUGGCGGCGUGCCUAACACAUGCAAGUCGAACGGAGUCCAGCCUUUAAGACCUUCGGGUCAAAGAGGGGAAGACUGAGUGGCGGACGGGUGAGUAACACGUGGGCAACCUGGCUCAUAGAGGGGGAUAACAGAGAGAAAUUUCUGCUAAUACCGCAUAAGCACACACUGCCGUAUGGCAGAGGGUGAAAAGAGAAUCGCUAUGAGAUGGACCCGCGUCUGAUUAGCCAGUUGGCAGGGUAAGAGCCUACCAAAGCGACGAUCAGUAGCCGAUCUGAGAGGAUGAACGGCCACAUUGGGACUGAGACACGGCCCAAACUCCUACGGGAGGCAGCAGUGGGGGAUAUUGCACAAUGGGGGGAACCCUGAUGCAGCGACGCCGCGUGAGUGAAGAAGUAUUUCGGUAUGUAAAGCUCUAUCAGCAGGGAAGAUAAUGACAGUACCUGAAGAAGAAGCCCCGGCUAACUACGUG
rnacentral:rRNA from 1 species